rnacentral:rRNA from 1 species
UACAGAGGUCUCACGCGUUGUUCGGAUUCAUUGGGCGUAAAGGGUGCGUAGGCGGCGCGGUAAGUCGGGUGUGAAAUCUCGGAGCUUAACUCCGAAACUGCAUUCGAUACUGCCGUGCUUGAGGACUGGAGAGGAGACUGGAAUUUACGGUGUAGCAGUGAAAUGCGUAGAUAUCGUAAGGAAGACCAGUGGCGAAGGCGAAUCUCUGGACAGUUACUGACACUGAGGCACGAAGGCCAGGGGAGCAAACGGG